rnacentral:lncRNA from 1 species
CCCAAAGUGCUGGGAUUACAGGUGUGAGCCACGGUGCCCGGCCUAGGACCUCUUUUAUAAGGGCACUAAUCCUAUUAAAGGGGGCUCUGCUCUCAUGGCCUAAUCGCUGUCCAAAGGCCCCAACUUCAAAUACCAUCACAUUGGGGAUUACCUUUCAGCUUCCGGAGGGCAUAAAUCUUUAUUAGUCUAUAGCAUUGUAUGAAAACUCUUUCCCUCCGUGUGGAGAGGAGGAAUGUCAAUGUCUAGAAAAGCUGGGUGUUAAAUGCAGAGGCUGAAGUUCAGUGGGACCUAAAAAAAAUGGGGGCUCAUCUUAAGUUAUGAUAAACUGAUAUAUAAGUUUGAUAAAUUGUAAAACAUCUUCAGAUACUGGUUCACUUAUUCAAUACUUAUUAAACACCUACUAUGUAUCAGGGGCUAUGCCAGUUCAUACAUACGCAUCUUAAAUACCCCAUGACCUCAAGGAACUCCCAGCUAUCUGGUAGUAAUGGAAAAUGCACAUAAAUAAUUACAGAGCUACAGUAAUUGUAGGGAAAAAACCAUGAAACCUCCUAACUCAAAGUAUAGCAUCUGCAUCUCCUGGGGCCAUCUAAGACUCCACCCCUCAACCCCGGAAUCUGCAGUUUAACAAGGAUCUCAGGUGAUUUGGAUCUUUAUUAAGAUUUGAGAGGUGGCCGGGCGCUCGGUGUCUAAGGCCUGUAAUCUCAGCACUUUGGGAGGCCAAGGUGGCCAGAUCACCUGAGGUCGGGAGUUCAAGACCAG